GAGUUUGAUCUUGGCUCAGAUUGAACGCUGGCGGCAGGCCUAACACAUGCAAGUCGAACGGUAGCACAGAGAGCUUGCUCUCGGGUGACGAGUGGCGGACGGGUGAGUAAUGUCUGGGAAACUGCCUGAUGGAGGGGGAUAACUACUGGAAACGGUAGCUAAUACCGCAUAACGUCGCAAGACCAAAGAGGGGACCUUCGGGCCUCUUGCCAUCAGAUGUGCCCAGAUGGGAUUAGCUAGUAGGUGGGGUAAUGGCUCACCUAGGCGACGAUCCCUAGCUGGUCUGAGAGGAUGACCAGCCACACUGGAACUGAGACACGGUCCAGACUCCUACGGGAGGCAGCAGUGGGAAUAUUGCACAAUGGGCGCAAGCCUGAUGCAGCCAUGCCGCGUGUAUGAAGAAGGCC
rnacentral:rRNA from 1 species